rnacentral:rRNA from 1 species
AUUGAACGCUGGCGGCAGGCUUAACACAUGCAAGUCGAACGAGUGGCGGACGGGUGAGUAAUGCUUGGGAAUCUGGCUUAUGGAGGGGGAUAACUACGGGAAACUGUAGCUAAUACCGCGUACCAUAGGAUGAGCCCAGGUGGGAUUAGGUAGUUGGUGGGGUAAAGGCUCACCAAGCCGACGAUCUCUAGCUGGUCUGAGAGGAUGACCAGCCACACUGGAACUGAGACACGGCCCAGACUCCUACGGGAGGCAGCAGUGGGGAAUAUUGGGCAAUGGGCGAAAGUUGAUCGAGCCAUGCCGCGUGAGUGAAGAAGGUUUUCGGAUCGUAAAGCUCUGUUGGUAGGGAGGCGGUAUCUAAACAAGAAGCAACGGCUAACUACGUGCCAGCAGCCGCGGUAAUUC